GACGAACGCUGGCGGCGUGCCUAAUACAUGCAAGUUGAGCGCUGAGGCGUGGUGCUUGUACCUACUGGAUGAGCAGCGGACGGGUGAGUAACGCGUGGGUAAUCUGCCUUUGAGCGUGGGACAACAUUUGGAAACGAGUGCUAAUACCGCAUAAAAACUUUAAACACAAGGUUUAAUUGUGAAAGAUGCAAUUGCAUCACUCUAUGAUGAUCCCGCGUUGUAUUAGCUAGUUGGUGAAGUAAAGGCUCACCAAGGCGAUGAUACGUAGCCGACCUGGGAGGGUGAUCGGCCACAAUGGGACUGAGACAACGCCCCAACUCCCAAGGGAGGCAGCAGUAGGGAAUCUUCGGGAAUGGACGAAAGUCUGAACGAGCAACGCCGCGGGAGUGAAGAAGGGUCUCCGAUCGUAAAACUCUGUUGGUAGAGAAGAAAGUUGGUGAGAGUGGAAAGCUCAUGAAGUGACGGUACCUAAUCAGAAAGCGACGGCUAACUACGUG
rnacentral:rRNA from 1 species